CCGGGCAGCAGUUUAUUUCACCAUAUAAUUUUAAUUUUAUUUUUUAAGUUCUAGGGAAUAGUGUUCAUUGUGGCAGAGCGUGUCACACCCGACUGGAGGUGCGGACAUUAGUGACAUCCCUCUGCGUCCUCCAUCGGGUACGAGUGGCAGGUUUCCUGCGUCCGGUUCCCACCAUCACCUGCACGGCUUCCUCACUCUGACCCGGGGACGUUUAACCCGACGGCUUCUGCUGACGCUCUGGUUCCAAACAAAACUCUGCAUAAGCUCCUGGGUCCACCUCAUCGUCAAUAUCAUCCAAGUACCAUCACCACCCCGGACACACCUGCUCCAUUUUCUUCACAAUCUGGAAAAAGAGUCUUCUCUUCAAGUCACUCUUUUUU